UGAUCAAGCAUUAUGAAUCUCUUGGUGAUGACAAAACCAUGAUGAUGAUGAUGUACCGUUUCAGCCAAGAUGAUAAUCAAUCUCCUUGAGGAACCAUGAAACCCUAAUUUGGACCCCACAUUCUCAGAUGGCUAAUGAUUCAUUCAAUGAAACCCUAGGCUUGCACCUCAACCUCUUUAUCUUCUGAUCAAGACCUAGGAAGAUGGCUUGCUCCAUGUAACCACAUGAUAUGCAAAU
rnacentral:lncRNA from 1 species